UACGUAGGGCGCAAGCGUUGUCCGGAAUUAUUGGCGUAAAGAGCUCGUAGGCGGUUUGUCGCGUCUGCCGUGAAAGUCCGGGGCUCAACUCCGGAUCUGCGGUGGGUACGGGCAGACUAGAGUGAUGUAGGGGGAGACUGGAAUUCCUGGUGUAGCGGUGGAAUGCGUAGAGAUCCGGAAGAACACCGGUGGCGAAGGCGGUCUGCUGGGCAGUUGCUGACACUGAGGCGCGACAGCGUGGGGAG
rnacentral:rRNA from 1 species